AUUGAACGCUGGCAGCAUGCCUUACACAUGCAAGUCGAACGGUAACGCGGGGUAACCUGGCGACGAGUGGCGAACGGGUGAGUAAUGUAUCGGAACGUGCCCAAUAGUGGGGGAUAGCCCGGCGAAAGCCGGAUUAAUACCGCAUGAGACCUGAGGGUGAAAGCGGGGGAUCGCAAGACCUCGCGCUAUUGGAGCGGCCGAUAUCAGAUUAGGUAGUUGGUGGGGUAAAGGCCUACCAAGCCGACGAUCUGUAGCUGGUCUGAGAGGACGACCAGCCACACUGGGACUGAGACACGGCCCAGACUCCUACGGGAGGCAGCAGUGGGGAAUUUUGGACAAUGGGCGCAAGCCUGAUCCAGCCAUGCCGCGUGC
rnacentral:rRNA from 1 species